UGCCGAAGUUCCGGUUGAUCCUGCCGGAAGCUACUGCUAUUGGGAUUCGACUAAGCCAUGCGAGUCAAGGUGUCUUCGGAUGCCGGCGUACGGCUCAGUAACACGUAGGUAACCUACCCUCAGGACUGAGAUAACCCCGGGAAACUGGGGCUAAUAUUAGAUAGAUAAAAGGUACUGGAAUGUUCUUUUAUCCAAAGCUUUUGCGCCUGAGGAUGGGCCUGCGUCCGAUUAGGUUGUUGGUGGGGUAAUGGCCCACCAAGCCUGCGAUCGGUACGGGCAGUGAGAGCUGAAGCCCGGAGUUGGGGACUGAGACAAGGCCCCAGGCCCUACGGGGCGCAGCAGGCGCGAAACCUCUGCAAUGCGGGAAACCGUGACAGGGGGAUCCCAAGUGCUCAUGCAUUGCAUGGGCUGUUCUUUGGUCUAAGUAACCAGAGGAGUAAGGGCUGGGCAAGACCGGUGCCAGCCGCCGCGGUAAUACCGGCAGCUCAAGUGGUAGCCGCGAUUAUUGGGCCUAAAGCGUUCGUAGCCGGAUAAGUAAGUCUUUGGUUAAAUCCUGCAACUCAACUGUGGGAAAUCUAGGGAUACUGCUUGUCUUGAGACCGGGAGAGGUUAGAGGUACUCCUAGGGUAGGGGUGAAAUCCUGUAAUCCUAGGGGGACCACCUGUGGCGAAGGCGUCUAACUGGAACGGGUCUGACGGUGAGGGACGAAACCUAGGGGAGCGAGCCGGAUUAGAUGCCCGGGUAGUCCUAGGCGUAAAUGAUGCGAGUUAAGUGUGGGGGCAUCUACGAGAUGGCCCUGUGCUGUAGGGUAGCCGUUAAACUCGCCGCCUGGGGAGUACGGUCGCAAGGCUGAAACUUAAAGGAAUUGGCGGGGGAGCACCACAAGAGGUGGAGGCUGCGGUUCAAUUGGAGUCAACGCCGGAG
rnacentral:rRNA from 1 species